rnacentral:rRNA from 1 species
UACGGAGGGUGCAAGCGUUAUCCGGAUUCACUGGGUUUAAAGGGUGCGUAGGCGGGUAGGUAAGUCAGCGGUGAAAUCCCCGAGCUUAACUUGGGACUGCCGUUGAUACUAUUUAUCUUGAAUGUUGUGGAGGUUAGCGGAAUAUGUCAUGUAGCGGUGAAAUGCUUAGAUAUGACAUAGAACACCCAUUGCGAAGGCAGCUAACUACGCAAUAUUGACGCUGAGAACGAAAGCGU